CACGUAGGGGGCAAGCGUUGUCCGGAUUCAUUGGGCGUAAAGAGCUCGUAGGCGGUUCGAUAAGUCGGGUGUGAAACCUCCAGGCUCAACCUGGAGACGCCACCCGAUACUGUCGUGACUAGAGUCCAGUAGGGGAGCGUGGAAUUCCUGGUGUAGCGGUGAAAUGCGCAGAUAUCAGGAGGAACACCAGUGGCGAAGGCGG
rnacentral:rRNA from 1 species